rnacentral:rRNA from 1 species
UUAAUUGAAGAGUUUGAUCAUGGCUCAGAUUGAACGCUGGCGGCAGGCCUAACACAUGCAAGUCGGGCGGUAACAGGGAGAAGCUUGCUUCUCCGCUGACGAGCGGCGGACGGGUGAGUAAUGUAUGGGGAUCUGCCUGAUGGCGGGGGAUAACUACUGGAAACGGUAGCUAAUA